GACGAACGCUGGCGGCGUGCUUAACACAUGCAAGUCGAACGGAAAGGCCCUGCUUUUGUGGGGUUCUCGAGUGGCGAACGGGUGAGUAACACGUGAGUAACCUGCCCUUGACUUUGGGAUAACUUCAGGAAACUGGGGCUAAUACCGGAUAGGAUCUCCUGCUGCAUGGUGGGGGUUGGAAAGUUUCGGCGGUUGGGGAUGGACUCGCGGCUUAUCAGCUUGUUGGUGGGGUAGUGGCUUACCAAGGCUUUGACGGGUAGCCGGCCUGAGAGGGUGACCGGCCACAUUGGGACUGAGGUACGGCGCAGACUCCUACGGGAGGCAGCAGUGGGGAAUAUUGCACAAUGGGCGGACGUCUGAUGCAGCAACGCCGCGUGCGUGAUGCCGGCCUUCGGGUUGUAAACCGCUUUCGACUGUGACGAAGCGUGAGUGACGGUAAUGGGUAAAGAAGCACCGGCUAACUACGUG
rnacentral:rRNA from 1 species